rnacentral:rRNA from 1 species
CCCUUAGAUGUUCUGGGCCGCACACGCGCUACACUGAAGGAGGCAGCGUGUACUCCUGGAUCGAAAGAUUUGGGUAACCCGCGAAUCUCCUUCGUGCUAGGGAUUGAGGUUUGCAAUUAUCCUUCAUGAACGAGGAAUUCCCAGUAAGUGCAAGUCAUAAGCUUGCGCUGACUACGUCCCUGCCCUUUGUACACACCGCCCGCCGCUACUACCGAUUGAAUGAUUUAGUGAGGACUUCGGACUGGGACCGAUGCGGCUUUCGGGCUGCGUCGGUAUUCUGGAAAGAUGUCCAAACUGUAUCAUUUAGAGGAAGUAAAAGUCGUAACA